AUGGCGUCUGCUGUGGCUGCGGAGUUGAGCCCCCCGGAUUUUACCUAUAAAUGGAGCAAGGAGCAAACUGCCCUGUUCAUUAAACAGAGGGGGGAGAGCGACCACCUCUUCACUGGGGCAAAGUUUUCUGCCAACGUGGCUUGGAGGUAAUUAAAGUAUCAAUAACCCUUUUGUAAUAUCUGCAUUUAAUCAUCGUGUACUUAAAGUUACAGUUAAAUGAGCCGCCAUCUUAUUCAAAGCCUUUAACAAUAAGAAAACUAGUAAAUGGGGCAGCCCUUUGUUGUGUCUUCACACAAUUACCAUGUACCGCAAUUUCCCCACUGUGGUACAAAUAUUUUAUUAUUUUAUCUUAUUUGGAGAAAAUGGGCUUGUGGGGGAAGGUGACUUCCCUCCAAGCGAAAAAAAAGUGGAGAAAAAAAAAUACUAUGUAUGAUUUGAAAUUGAUAUAUUCUGUAUACGUUUUUAUAUAAAUUGUUCACUGUGCAGCAUAAAGGGAAAUAUAAACCGCA